rnacentral:rRNA from 1 species
CAAUAGCGUAUAUUAAAGUUGUUGCAGUUAAAAAGCUCGUAGUUGGAUUUCUGGUCGGAAGCUCCUGUCCUCUGAUGAGCGUACAAGUGCGUCCUACCAUCCUUCUGUUAACCUUUAAGGCUUUCGCGGCUUUCUAGGGGCUCAGGUAUUUUACCUUGAGAAAAUUAGAGUGUUUCAGGCAGGCUAGCGCCGGAAUACAUUAGCAUGGAAUAAUGGAAUAGGACUUUUGCCUCUUCUGUUGGUCAUGAGGCUCGAGUAAUGAUUAAUAGGGAUAGUUGGGGGCAUUAGUACUUAACUGUCAGAGGUGAAAUUCUCGGAUUUGUUAAAGACUAACUUAUGCGAAAGCAUUUGCCAAGGAUGUUUUCAUUAA